GAUGAACGCUGGCGGCGUGCCUAAUACAUGCAAGUCGAGCGAACAGACGAGGAGCUUGCUCCUCUAACGUUAGCGGCGGACGGGUGAGUAACACGUGGAUAACCUACCUAUAAGACUGGGAUAACUUCGGGAAACCGGAGCUAAUACCGGAUAAUAUAUUGAACCGCAUGGUUCAAUAGUGAAAGACGGUUUUGCUGUCACUUAUAGAUGGAUCCGCGCCGCAUUAGCUAGUUGGUAAGGUAACAGCUUACCAAGGCAACGAUGCGUAGCCGACCUGAGAGGGUGAUCGGCCACACUGGAACUGAGACACGGUCCAGACUCCUACGGGAGGCAGCAGUAGGGAAUCUGCCGCAAUGGGCGAAAGCCUGACGGAGCAACGCCGCGUGAGUGAUGAAGGUCUUCGGAUCGUAAAACUCUGUUAUUAGGGAAGAACAAAUGUGUAAGUAACUAUGCACGGCUUGACGGUACCUAAUCAGAAAGCCACGGCUAACUACGUG
rnacentral:rRNA from 1 species